CUGAUAUGGCGAACCUACAGCUGGAUCAUUUU
rnacentral:rRNA from 1 species